AUUGAACGCUGGCGGCAGGCCUAACACAUGCAAGUCGAACGAGUGGCGGACGGGUGAGUAAUGUAUGGGAAACUGCCCGAUGGAGGGGGAUAACUACUGGAAACGGUAGCUAAUAACGCAUACCAUCGGAUGUGCCCAGAUGGGAUUAGCUUGUAGGUGAGGUAACGGCGCACCUAGGCGACGAUCCCUAGAUGGUCUGAGAGGAUGAGCAGCCACACUGGGACUGAGACACGGCCCAGACUCCUACGGGAGGCAGCAGUGGGGAAUAUUGCACAAUGGGCGCAAGCCUGAGGCAGCAAUGCCGCGUGUAUGAAGAAGGCCUUAGGGUUGUAAAGUACUUUCAGCUGGGAAGCGUUACCCACAGAAGAAGCACCGGCUAACUCCGUGCCAGCAGCCGCGGUAAUAC
rnacentral:rRNA from 1 species